UACAUGGGGUGCAAACGUUGCUCGGAAUUAUUGGGCGUAAAGCGCACGUAGGCGGUUUGUUAAGUCGGAUGUGAAAUCCCUCGGCUCAACUGAGGAAGUGCAUCCGAAACUGGCAGGCUUGAGUACUAAAGAGGGUCGCGGAAUUCCCGGUGUAGAGGUGAAAUUCGUAGAUAUCGAGAGGAACACCGGUGGCGAAGGCGGCGAUCUGGACGAUGACUGACGCUGAGACGCGAAAGCGUGGGGAGCAAACAGG
rnacentral:rRNA from 1 species